ensembl:misc_RNA Metazoa_SRP Metazoan signal recognition particle RNA
GCCGGGUGCGGUGGCAUGUGCCUGUAAUCCAAGUCACUGGGAGGCUGAGGUUGGUGGAUCAAGUGAGCUGAGGAGCUCUGGGCUGCAGCACUCUAUGUCGAACGGGUGUCCACGCUAAGUUCGGUAUCGAUAUGGUGUUCCUGGGGGAGCCCGGGACCACCAGGUUGUCUAAGGAGGGGUGAACCGGCCCAGGUCGGAAACGAAGCAGGUCAAAUCCCCCGUGCUGUCCAGUAGUGGGAUAAUACCUGUGAGUAGAUGCUGCAGUGCAGCCUUGGCAAAACAUCUUUU